rnacentral:lncRNA from 1 species
UGGAAAAGGAGUAGAGUGAUAUAUGUAUUAUGGUGAACCUAGAGUUUUGUUGUUUUUUAUGACUCAGAUUUAUGCUUACACAUAAAAGCAUUAUGUAUCUAUGAAGAUACAGCAGAACCACAGGCUAACAAAAAUUAGCCUGUAUGGAAUUGACUGCAGGGAUGCUUUUUUUUUUAACAGUCACUGAAUAUUCUUCUAACAAUACCAUUAUAAUCAGAAAGUGCUUUCACGCUUCAUAUUGUCAAAACGUUUUAGCUAACAGACAAACAGAAGAAUAUGUCGUUGUUUUUAUUAGGAUACAAAGAGCAACACAAGAUUUUGUCUGUCAGACAUACUGUCAGAAGGAAAUGCAUAGUAUAUGUAAAAUAUUUAUCAUCAUUUCUUACCUUGUAACUAUGUCUACGCAAACGCCAAAAUAAAUACAGUCUGUUCCAACUAUACAAUGCACAGCGCCUAAAGUGUUUAUUGCCACAUUUUCUAUGACCAGUCUCCUUUCUGUUGUGGUUCUCCAGUGACUGUGUUAUUCCAGGGAAAUGAGUAACACAAGGGAGGGAGGGUGCAUAAUGACUUCUGAGCAGUAGGGGGUUGUCUGAACUAACACACAUGGAUCAUGCUCUGCAUCUCCUCAGUCUGUACUGGAAUACCCUUUUAGGGUGCGUUUUGCAAAAAACGUAUAGAAGGUCAGCUACUCAGAUUUCUAUGGAAGACAGGGCAGUGUGUAUCACAGACACAGCACACCAGUCAGUCCAUAGGUUCUAAGAGCUGAGGGCAAGAAUUUGUCCAAUUUGACCAAAAUGAUAAUGAUUCUAUUCUUAUUUGUGCUAUUAAGUGAGUACUGUUAGCUACAUUUCAUUCUUUUUUUUUCCUAUUCAGUGAACAGGCAAAACAUGGAAUCAUUCUUGUUUUGAAGAGUCUUAGCAUUUUCUGGAAAUAUUAUAUGUUCAUCGGUACAAGAUUUCUGUGUGUGAUGGAACAGGGAAACAAAGAGCGAAGGAACUAAACAUACCUACCACAAACUGAAAUGUUUACUUUGAAGAGAAGACUGCCAAUUUGAUAUUUUAAGUGUGACUCUUGUAGAGGGAAAUGUAAUAUAAUCCAUUAUGGAAAAAAGUUUAAAAACAGGCGAUAUUAGCUGGAAAAUGGAAAAUGUUCUACCAAGGAGAGUUGCUUUGGUGUCAAUGUUCUCUGACAUUUUCUCCCUCUGCAACCUCUGUUAAUCAGCAUCGUGGUUUACAUGACAGAACUCUUGACUUCCCUCUUGGUUGUUGAUUUUCCACUUGUGUACAUUCAAAAUGUUGUCAAUGAUGACAGCUGGUUAUUUCUUCUACACACAGAUUUUUAUUGUCUUAUUUUAUCGUUCGUUCCUUGUGAAAACUGGAUACUUUUUCCCACCCAAAAGACAACAAAGGUUGGAUUGCCCCAGUAAUUGUUCUUUCCUAUGUUUCCUUUGGGCUCUUGUUCAGUUUGUUGGAUCUGAGUUGCUUUAAACAUAAUUAGACCAUUAUAAAUCACUCUGAAUUAGUUCACAUGUGACAUCACCAAGGAGACCCAAUGGGACUAUUAGAACAUGUUUUUGGACAAUCUAUCUGUGUAGCUAUGUUAACUACUUUAUCAUGAAAGUAAAAUUGAUAAAACAGUAGUCUUUUCAGUAUGACAAACCAAAAUAUAUUGUACCAUAUCUAUUUAACUAAUUAGAUUUUCAUAGUGCUAAUAGAAUUUGUCACAAAACUGAUGAACAUUAGCUAAAGAAAGAGCAAUAUAUUUUAUUUUAUUGGGCACAUCUCAGAGUGCUUGUAAUUUAGUAAGGCCACCACACUUUCUGGGCAGGAUAUCAAGUAGGAUGUUGUAAUGAUCUGCAUGACUACUAUAGUAGAUGGAAAAAUGUAGCUUGUGUUUGUAGCUGUUCCAUUAACAUCUUGCAAAGUGUGCACUCCUUUGGUGCUCUUCAGAGAGUCUUGUAAUAAUCCCAAGUAAUUAUACAUUGUUUAAAACGUAGUAUGUAAUUAAAUGAUGAUACAAAAGAAGGACUGAGAGAAGCAGAUAACCAAUAGAAUCCUGAAGUUAUCAAAACAGAUCUCUUGCCAAAGACCUUGGAAUUCAUCUGAUUCAGUUGCUGGAAGAAUGCCUGAAUUAAAAAUUAUUCUAUGAGGACCAAGAAAAUAGAGCCAAAUUCUGGCACUAUACACUUUUCUCCCAAAAUGGACAUUAAUGCUACAAAAACAGAAUAGGGUGAACAGCCCCUGGCCCCAUGCUUGCCCCCCUACUGUAGUUUGUAUCUGCCAAAAGAAGACAGACGAGAAGAUCUAAAACUUGGGGGUGAGGGAAGUUAGAAAAGGAGGGUCAUUAGAAAAGAAAAACUCAUAGUCUGUGCCCCCUGCCAGCUCUGAAACACUUGACUGCAGCUCUAUUUGUAAAGCACCUGUUGGCAGCUGUGGAGUAGUUUAUAGGUUUUCAGACAGAAUGAGGACAGAAAACUUACAGUCCGUGUUCCCUUACGUGACACGUGAUUUGUUCUUGUUUUAAUAAAAUGUAAGUCGUUCCUGGGCAAUAAUUAUGGCAAUAGAUAUAUCUAUUCAGAAAUAAAAACCUCACCUCUAACUUUCUAGAAAAAGAUAUUAAAAAUAUUAAAUCACAUUUUGAAUGAAUUUCAUUAAUAUUUAUAUUAGUUCAUAGGUAUUUGAUGGCUGAUGCCGUGUGUGUUAUCUUCCUUUUUUUGCAGAAAUGAAGUGUUGAGUAGGGUAGAAGGAAAAUAUGGCAAAACAAUAGUCAAAUAUUACCUUGAUAGUUUCAUUCAAACACAGCCAUAAGAGGCUGGGUGUAAGGGGUUGACUGGCCAGUUUUAUCCUUAACAGCAGUGUCUUUAAGGAUUAGUCACAUAUGACAAAGAAGCCAGUGCUAACCUGAACUCCCUUCUUUCACUACUUUCAGUAAGACUUAACGUAUUUAUUUAUGAUGGCAGCCAAAUAUUCCUGGUGAUCUUAAGGCAGAGAACUGAGCAGAAAUGAUGAAUAAAG